UGGGGAAUAUUGCACAAUGGAGGGAACUCUGAUGCAGCGACGCCGCGUGAGUGAUGAAGGAAUUCGUUUCGUAAAACUCUGUUCUAUGGGAAGAAAAGGACUGUACCAUAGGAGAAAGCUCCGGCUAAAUACGUGCCAGCAGCCGCGGUAAUACGUAUGGAGCGAGCGUUGUCCGGAAUUAUUGGGCGUAAAGGGUGCGCAGGCGGCUUUACAAGUUGGAUGUGAAAUAUUGUGGCUCAACCACAAAUGUGCAUCCAAAACUGCAAAGCUUGAGUUAAGGAGAGGUAAGUGGAAUUCCUGGUGUAGCGGUGGAAUGCGUAGAUAUCAGGAGGAAUACCGGUGGCGAAGGCGACUUACUGGACUUAAACUGACGCUCAGGCACGAAAGCGUGGGGAGCAAACAGG
rnacentral:rRNA from 1 species